CGGUCCUGCCACAAAAUCAAUCGGUGGCUGUUCCCUGCUGUGUGUUUGUGCCGGGGCUGCAGAUCAAUCUAACUCACUUGGAUGAAUCCACAAGGGGAAGGAAUUUAGAAAGGAAAAAUGCCUCGGUGAUGCUCAGCUUAGCUUGUUGCUAUGCAACACCGUGCUGUAACCAUGGCAACCCCCCGGAGCACCGUGUUCGGCCCCUUUCUGGUACAGGCUGGAAAGAAAAUGGAAUAGGGAUCCUGGGGGCUUCUCCACACUGGGAAGGGCAGAGUUCUUGCUCCAGAGGUCUGGUGCCCCCCUUGGAGGAAUGCUCAAUCCCCAGGACAGCAGAGCAGAAGGAACCAGCUGGAGACGCUGCUGCAGAGCAGAUAAUUAAAGAGAUUGGAAAGAAAAAGCAGCUUUGGCGAAGAAUGAACACGCACACAAGCCCAGCCCAUCGCCCGCCGAGGAGCUGCUAAUAACAUCUCAUCUCUUGGUGAAUCUUCCAGGAUGAGCAGAGCACAUCUGAAAAUCAACGCACAUAAAAGAGCCUUUUGACCAAAAGAGAAAACACACCCGCGUUUGAAACACUGCAGAACCAACGACUCUCAUUAGCAUCUGCCUUUCUUCUGGAAUGGUCCUCGGGAGCGAUGGGAGCAGAUUUAACACUGUGUGGAUCAAAGGAACUCAACAGAACAGCCCUCGUGCCGAA